rfam:Ictidomys tridecemlineatus contig087960, whole genome shotgun sequence.
GGGGUUGUGGCUCAGUGGUAGAGCGUUCGCCUAGCACAUGCAAGGCCCUGGGUUCAAUCCUCAGCACCUCA